rnacentral:ncRNA from 1 species
UAAGUUUUAUUAUAUAAAUAAAGUACGGGAGAUACAUAACGCAUGUCUGGUGAGCAGUUGGCCUUAAAAAGGGGGUUUAAUCAAUGUUAAAGGGGCUAAGUCAGGUUUUGUUUAUUUAUGCAAAUUUUUGAUUUUAGAUAAGUAGCGAGCAGUUGUUGACAUUGCAUAUCCAGGGGGUUGGGAUGUGGCAAUAAUUUUUAACACUGACAAAAUUUGUGCCAGCAGUCGCGGUUAUACAAAUAGUGUGAUUUAGCUUUUUCGGUGGUAUAGUUAAUUUAUUUGAUUGAUUUAAAUAUUUUUAGUUUUAAGGUGAAAUUUUUGAUUUUAUAUUGUUAUCGUUAGAUUUGAUGAGGCUAGGAAACUUUUUUUUUAGACUAGGAUUAGAUACCCUAUUAUUGAAAGCGUUAAUUCAGGUUGCUUGAUUAGUAAGAGUUAUGGUCUUAAAAAUUAAAUAUUUUGGCGGUAUUUUAAUCCUUCCAGAGGAACCUGCCCUGUAAUCGAUAGUCCACGAUUUGUUAUACUUUUUUGAGUGUUUGUAUAUCGUCGUUGUCAGGGAAUUUUCUUAAAAUUUGAAUUCUCGUAAUUUUGGAUUUAUCAGCAAAUCAGAUCAAGGUGCAGCAUUAAGAAGAAGAGGUGGGUUACAUUAUAAUUAUAUUGGGAUUUAAAAUUUUAUAUUUUGUUGAAUAUGGAUUUGGUAGUAAUUUUUCUUAGAUUAAAACAGUGAAUUGGGCUCUAGAAUAAGCACAUAUCGCCCGUCGCUUUCGUUAUGUUUUACGAAAUAAGUCGUAACAUAGUAGGUUUACUGGAAAGUGGUCCUGGAAAGGC